rnacentral:tRNA from 1 species
CCCGUGAUAGCUCAGUUGGUAGAGCGGAGGACUGUAGAUCCUUAGGUCGCUGGUUCCAAUCCGGCUCGCGGGA